CCAGCCUGUUUUAACCAGAACCAGACGCAAAAUACUCAUUUGAACCAGAUUCAGGAUGGGCUCCAAUUACCUCAACCGUCAAAACUCCCUACAGAGCGCGAGGAGCACAGAGUGAGGCGGAGUCAGACAGUGAAUCUGCAGCGCCUACAGCAGGUGGAGACACAGAUCAGUGGCUCCAGGGAUCUAUACAGGACCAAGAACCUGGGGACAGACAACAUGGCUGUCUUUCAAAAUGGAGCCUGUAAAGACUCGGAGGAAAAGGUG